AUUGAACGCUGGCGGCAUGCCUUACACAUGCAAGUCGAACGGCAGCGGGGACUUCGGUCCGCCGGCGAGUGGCGAACGGGUGAGUAAUGUAUCGGAACGUACCUUUCAGUGGGGGAUAACGUAGCGAAAGAUGUGCUAAUACCGCAUAUUCUCUGAGGAGGAAAGUAGGGGAUCGAAAGACCUUAUGCUUUUGGAGCGGCCGAUGUCUGAUUAGCUAGUUGGUAAGGUAAUGGCUUACCAAGGCGACGAUCAGUAGUUGGUCUGAGAGGACGACCAGCCACACUGGGACUGAGACACGGCCCAGACUCCUACGGGAGGCAGCAGUGGGGAAUUUUGGACAAUGGGCGCAAGCCUGAUCCAGCAAUGCCGCGUGAGUGAAGAAGGCCUCGG
rnacentral:rRNA from 1 species